UCCCUGGUGGCUCAGAUGGUAAAGCGUCUGCCUGCAAUGUAGGAGACCCGGGUUCAAUUCCUGGGUUGGAAA
rnacentral:tRNA from 1 species